rnacentral:lncRNA from 1 species
GAAUGAAUAGGAAGAGUUAACUAGAAGUUGUAUGAAGUAGAAAGCUGUCUUCUAAUGUGUUUUCUUAUCCUAGUUUGCUAUCCCUUAUUACUAUUUGUUUGAAAAAAUUCAAAAAUGGAUAUUGGCUACUUCCUUUUUUAAAAAGGUAAUAAUUUAAGUUUUCUAAUAAAAAAGGCUUGAAAACCUGAUUUCCAGAAUUUUUGAUCUUGAAAUUAUUUUACAGUUUUCUUGUAGAACUAAACCAUUAUUUUUACCAUUGACAUUAUUGUAUCUCAUUAUCUGCUAUUAAUGGAGACAGAUUUAUUUGAAAGUAGACACAGUAGAAAGAACUGUAUUUUGUUCAGUAGAGUCCUCAGAAAUUGCUAUAAAAAAAAUUUAAAGAAGCACUGUAGAGAUAAAUUCAUGGAGACAUCUGAAAAUU